rnacentral:rRNA from 1 species
GUCUACGGCCAUACCACGUUGAAAGCACCAGUUCUCGUCCGAUCACUGAAGUUAAGCAACGUGGGGCUCGGUUAGUACUUGGAUGGGUGACCGCCUGGGAACACCGAGUGCUGUAGACU